GCAGUGGUGGUUCAGUGGUAGAAUUCUCAUCUUCCAUACUGAAGACCCGGGUUCAAUUCCCACCCAGUGCA
rnacentral:tRNA from 1 species